rnacentral:misc_RNA from 1 species
CAUACAAGCGGGCUUGCCCGCGAUAGCGCUGGCUCAGUCACAGUAGCGUUGACUGACACUCCGUCAUCGCGGGCAAGCCCGCUCCCACA